UAAGUGCUUCAAUGUUUUGGUGA
rnacentral:miRNA from 2 species